UGAAUACGAGACGCUAAGGCGUCGAAGUAGUGUAUGUCAUACUUCCAAGAAAAGCUUGCACUGUCAUAGAUAAAAAACGCCUGUACCAUAACCGACACAGGUGGGUAGGUAGAGUAUACUAAGGGGCGCGAGAUAACUCUCUCUAAGGAACUCGGCAAAAUAACUCCGUAACUUCGGGAGAAGGAGUGCCUUAUUCGUAAGGUUGCAAUAACAAGAUCCAAGCAACUGUUUAUCAAAAACACAGGUCUCCGCUAAGUCGUAAGACGAUGUAUGGGGGCUGACGCCUGCCCAGUGCCAGAAGGUUAAAGAAGUUGGUUAGCAAUUGCGAAGCUGAUAACUGAAGCCCUGGUGAACGGCGGCCGUAACAAUAACGGUCCUAAGGUAGCGAAAUUCCUUGUCGGGUAAGUUCCGACCCGCACGAAAGGCGUAAUGAUUUGGAUACUGUCUCGGAGAGGGGCUCGGUGAAAUAGACUUGUCUGUGAAGAUGCGGACUACCUGCACCAGGACAGAAAGACCCUAUGAAGCUUUACUGUAACUUGAAAUUGAAAUUGGACUUUAUUCGCGCAGUAUAGGUGGGAGGCGUUGAUUAUAAUCUUGUGGGAUUAUUGGAGCCAUCAGUGAGAUACCACUCUUGUAAUGUUAGAUUUCUAACUUUGAAUCAUUAUCUGGUCAAAGAACAGUUUCAGGCGGGCAGUUUGACUGGGGCGGUCGCCUCCUAAACGGUAACGGAGGCGUACAAAGGUUUCCUCUGAACGGUUAGAAAUCGUAUCUAGAGUGUAAAGGCAUAAGGAAGCUUGACUGUGAGACCUACAAGUCGGGCAGGGACGAAAGUCGGUCUUAGUGAUCUGACGGUACUGAGUGGAAAGGCCGUCACUCAACGGAUAAAAGUUACUCUAGGAUAACAGGCUGAUCUCCCCCAAGAGUUCACAUCGACGGGGAGGUUUGGCACCUCGAUGUCGGCUCAUCGCAUCCUGGGGCGGUAGUACGUCCCAAGGGUUGGGCUGUUCGCCCAUGAAAGCGGUACGCGAGCUGGGUUCAGAACGUCGUGAGACAGUUCGGUCCAUAUCCGGUGUAGGCGUUAGAAUAUUGAGAGGAGCCUUCUUUAGUACGAGAGGACCGAGAAGGACAUACCUCUGGUGUACCAGUUAUCGUGCCAACGGUAAACGCUGGGUAGCUAUGUAUGGAGUGGAUAACCGCUGAAAGCAUCUAAGUGGGAAGCCCACCUCAAGAUAAG
rnacentral:rRNA from 1 species